rnacentral:rRNA from 1 species
UGACCGUGCAAAGGUAGCAUAAUCAUUUGUUCCCUAAAUAGGGACUUGUAUGAAUGGCCACACGAGGGCUUUACUGUCUCUUACUUCCAAUCCGUGAAAUUGACCUUCCCGUGAAGAGGCGGGAAUACAACAAUAAGACGAGAAGACCCUAUGGAGCUUUAAUUAACCGACCCAAAGAGACCCAUUAAUUUCAACCGACAGGAACAACAAACCUCUGUAUGGGCCGACAAUUUAGGUUGGGGUGACCUCGGAGAACAGAACAACCUCCGA